AUGACCGCCAGAGAGACUGAAGGGCUACUGGGAAGCGACCCUUCAACAGCAGACUGGCAAGAAGCUGCUCAGGAAGUCAGCUGUCCAAAGUGGGAGAACCAGGAGCUUUUUCAAGGUGUGUCACUUCAUUCCUGCUGACGAUGACUUGCAAAAAUGAAGCCUGGCGGUCAUGGAUUCAUGAAUCAGUGUCUCCAGGUCUGAUCUCAGUAGGAUGAGGUACAAUUUUCUGGCCAAUUCUAGAUAGAAGGUGGCUCCCCUCUUCAUCCUCCUGCUUAUUUGGAUGUUAAAUAAGAGGCAUUCUAAAGGUGCCCUCAACAGUGUGUGUGUGUGUUUGAAGCACUUCACACUUUGGCGCUUCACACUCUUCAUCAGGUGCUUAUUUCAGUUUGUCACUGAAAAAGCUUGAGAUGAUUCUGAUUAUGUUCGAUAUCAGGAAGUAGUGAAGCUGGGUGAUACUGAUGCCAUUUCAGCUUGUGUUGUCUCACCAUCCCUACCGAAAGCCUCAUAUAGAUGUUGAAUCACAUGGGAAAUAAAAGUGAACCUUUUGGGAUUUGCAGAUGAAGGCUCAGGAGAUGAAAGAACAAUUACUCAGGACAACCCCCUGGGCUCAAUCGGAGAGGAAGCACUUAAGCCACUUCAAGCCACUCUUAUUCAUGCAGCUACAUACCACAGCUUGUAUCAGUAGGCGGUAAAGCAUUCACAUACCCCUACUUGGUGUCUUGAGUCUGUUUGCACAAUAUGGUGGCAGAGUGAAAACUCCGCAUCUGGGGAAAAAACUGCAACAGGAGCGAAAAAUCCCUCUGGAGGAGAGAGAGCUCUUUUUGAAAAGCUGAUGUAAACCCUGAAAAGCAACAGACUGUGACCACAAAUGGUUUUUCCAUUGGCAAUUAUAUUAAGCAACUUCCUUUCAGGACCUAAAGCACAGUAUGACUCUUUUGGCUCUACUGAAUUGCUACAAGAAUCAGGUUUUUUUUUAAAUUUAAACAGGUAUUUCACCCAAUCAGAUUUCCAUUAUGAAAAUUCAUACUUAUUGAACAUGCGGAGAAAGGGCUCUAGUGAGCCUUUACCAUGAUAGCAAAUGUUGAAAGGACAGAACUGUUAACAAAUUUCAGAGGCCUCCAAUAUAUUUUUCUGGUUUUGUUUUUACUCUAUUUUUGUUCCAUUCAGUGUCGUUCAGGUCCCAUGUGUGAUUUGUAGUAUUUCAUCUAAGACCGUUCCUAAGCUAUAAUUAAGCCCUGAUCUAGCAAAGCACUUAAGCAUAUGCUUAAAAUUGUGUCUAUCUGCUUAGUUUGAUUGUGGUCUUAAUACCAUUAUAUUUCACCAUGUAAUAUUUCAUACCUGUUGGUACAUGUGGGUUUUAGGGUUAAAUUUUCAAAAGUGACUAAUAAUUUUUUGGGUGCCUCAAUCUUUUGUUGCCCAAAUUGAAAUAUCUUAAAAGGCCUAAUUUCUGGAAAAUACUGAGCACUCACCUUCCUUAAAGAUUUUUGAAGCUGGGGAUCCAAAAUCACUAAUUACUUUUGAAAAAUUCGACCAGGACCCCUAUACCAAGGCUCCCUGAAUACACAUUGCUAUGGCCAAAAUGUUUUGUUGCUCUAACAUGACCAAUGUCAUGUGAUAUAAUGCUUUGCAUUGAAAAAGCAGUUGAACAGAACUAUAGGGGUCUGAACUUGUAGGGAUGAGCACUGCUUGAUUUCUUCUUUAUUGCCUUCUGUUAGCUAUUAUUGCUUCCUUCUCUAUGAAUGAGCAAUGCCUUUCAUAAGCCUUAAUAUCCUACAUUUCUCAUUUCAAUGCUGUAUGCAUAUUUCAUUGGUAAUCUUCCUUUGUUAGCUCAUCUUGUAGUAUGUAUGUGGCAUUAAUGUUUUCUUUUCAGUGCUUUCCAGACCGAAUCCAACACAAUCUCUGGAUAUGCAGCUAUUGUUUAAAUCAGUGGAACUGAACAAAGCAUUCAACAAGUCUACACUUAACCUGUAAGGCUUUCUUGCAAUGCGCUAGAUCAGGGUCAUAGCACUAAGUCUACAUUAGAAGUAGAAUAUUUAUACAAGAAAACCAUGCCACCUGCGGGACACUGAGGGAUUCUGCUUUUCUCACCAAAAUGUUUCACAGUAGUAAAAUCACUGAAUUACAGAUUGCACUAAUGUCCAGCUGAGCUAGUUAUACCUGUAUCGUUUUGGGUAGUCCAACAGCUCUGAGAUUUAUUAAUUGAUGAGUUCUGAUAGCAUAUUGUUGAACAGACACGGAGGAUCGCUCAGUUUAGGCUGGCAAGCUGCUCAGUGGAACACAAACUACUGCUCCUUUACAGAAGGCAACAUGUGCAUCACUUGCCUAGGGUCAUGGUCAGGCCAGACUUUUUGAGGCCAUGGUGUGCUGACUAGCAGAUUAGCUAGCUUUGCCCCCUAAUACUUUCCUGAGCACCAGCUUGGAAUCCUGGCCCAGCACUGGAUGCCUAAGAGGGACCCUAUGAAUAGCAACCAGGCAAGAUUUGGCCUCUUCUAGUGAAGCACACCGGAAGUCUUGACUCCUAGGUCAGUGACCCUGCAUUGACUUACAUCAGCUGAGAAUCUGGAAGUGUAGAUAGGGUCACAAAGUGCUGAAUACGGAACUUUUUCUUUGCACUCUUAGAUGCCAGCAAACAAUGCCAGGACCUUAGCUGCUUUUUCAAAUUUAAAUCGCCUCCAAAGGUACCUUGCAAAACCAUGAGUAGGAGCAAGGCUGGGAAAGGAUCCCAGGGGAGCAAAACAAACAAAGCUAAGGAAGAAGAGAAGCCUGUGCUGCUAAAUGCCCACCAGUCUGCCUUCUAAAGUCAUUUUUCAUCCAUGAGUCGUAUGGUCAAAUAAACCUGCAAAUCAGAAGCAUACAUUCCAGCCUGUGGGCAUGUUAAACCCUUUGUGUCAUUGACAUUGUGUCAGCAUCGCUACAGGUCCUCCAUUUGUAAUCCUUGCCCUCGAGAGUGGGGAAUGCUAUUGGCGUUGGAUUGUUGAUCAUAAAUCAUAAUUGCAUCAAGCUGAUCUUCAGUGGUUCCCUGGACUCCAUUUCAGCAUGUAACUGGCAGGUGGAAGAAGAUGCAGAACAAUUUUCUGCUAUUAAUUAUGUCAGAGAUAUUUUGGAUUCUCCUCACUGAAGGCGCAAUUAUCCGCUGCAGUAGAGCGGAACUUGGUGCAGAUGAGGGAGGGGAGGCUAAGGUGACUUGAUGCUACCUUUCCACCUGCCCUAGUCAGCAGGGCCGGCUCUAGGCUCUUUGCUGCCCCAAGCUCUGAGAGCACGACUGCCCAAGUAAGCGUGCCACCCCCCGCAUACCCCCCCAAAAAAGAGAGGUGGCCGGAAGGCCGCCGCUGGAAUUGUGCUGCCCCAAGUACAUGCUUGCUUGGCUGGUGCCCAGAGCCGGUCCUGCUAGUCAGGGGCUGAACUGGUCCUGGCUCAAGAGACAACAGUCCUUAUGCAGCUCUAACUUCUGCUGGAUUAUAAUAAUCUCCCAGGGGCCAUUGUGUAGCAUGGUGUAACAUGAUGUCCUUGGUGUGUCAUCCGCAACUGAAAUUGAACCAAGAACUUCCGGAUCUAAAGGCAUGAGACUGUACUGCCUGCACUAAAAGACCCAGCUCUGUUAGUUCAAAGGCUAGAGCAGACUCUCAAACCUUUGGUCUAGCCACUAAAAGGGGACAGAGCUACGCUGUGUAAGCAUGGGCUAUAUCGACAUGGAUCACGAGAGUGCCAUGAGCUCCAGCUGCAGCCCCAUCUGCUCAUCACAUACUGCCUGUGCCUGAAUCCCCAUCUGCCAUUAUAUGGGAGCUUUAAGGUCACUUUGUACCACUCCAGUGCAAUAAAGCAAUUUUAAGAGGA